rnacentral:rRNA from 1 species
UACGGGGGGGGCAAGCGUUGUUCGGAAUUACUGGGCGUAAAGGGCUCGUAGGCGGCCAACUAAGUCAGACGUGAAAUCUCUCGGCUCAACCGAGAAACUGCCAUUGAUACUGUUAUUCUUGAAUUCGAUCGAAGUGGGCGGAAUGUGACAUGUAGCGGUGAAAUGCUUAGAUAUGUCACAGAACACCGAUAGCGAAGGCAGCUCACUAGGUCUGGAUUGACGCUCAGGGACGAAAGCGUGGGGAGCAAACAGG